GUACACGCUGUGACUAGCAUAUCAAUAAGCGGAGGAAAAGAAACUAACAAGGAUUCCCCUAGUAACGGCGAGUGAAGCGGGAAGAGCUCAAAUUUGAAAUCUUAAAGGGUUUCCCUUUACGAAUUGUAGUUUAAAGAAGUGUUUUCUGUUGAGGUUUUGGUAAAAGUUCUUUGGAAUAGGACAUCAUAGAGGGUGAGAAUCCCGUAUUUGACCUUUACUUUCAACUUUGUGAUACACUUUCAAAGAGUCGGAUUGUUUGGGAAUGCAGUCCAAAAUGGGUGGUAAAUUUCAUCUAAAGCUAAAUAUUGGCGAGAGACCGAUAGCGAACAAGUACCGUGAGGGAAAGAUGAAAAGAACUUUGAAAAGAGAGUUAAACAGUACGUGAAAUUGUCAAAAGGGAAGCGUUUGACACCAGUGUUGUUUUUCUGAAAAUCAAUUAAAGAACUGUUUAUGCUAAGUUGUUUAGACUUUAUCAGCUAACUGUUUAGUUUUGAGCUUUUCUUUAAUGCACUUUUCAGUUAACAAGUCAACAUCAAUUUCUUUUGCUGUAAAAAAGCUUGAGGAAGGUGGCUUGAGAUUCGUCUUAAGUGUUUAUAGCCUCUUGCCUAUGCAGUCGGAGAGAUUGAGGUCUGCAGCGUAGAUCCUUCGGGGCUAAAUGCAUUUGUGCUAAGUUAUAGCAUUUCAUAGACAACUUGUUGACUAUGAUUUGUCUUGUAGCUUACUCGCUUAUGUUAUUUUACCUACGCUUAGGAUGUUGACGAGACUGUCGAUCUC
rnacentral:rRNA from 1 species